UAGAGGAAUAGGUCAACUCAUCAGGCUCAUAACCUGAAGAUUGCAGGUUCGAACUCUGG
rfam:Capsicum annuum cultivar Zunla-1 chromosome 10, whole genome shotgun sequence